AACGCACCUUGCGCUCCUUGGUAUUCCGAGGAGCAUGCCUGUUUGAGUGUCAUGAAAUUCUCAACCUUUUCAACUUUUUCUGUUGAUCAGGCUUGGAUGUGGGAGUAUGCGGGCUUCUCAGAAGUCGGCUCUCCUGAAAUGCAUUAGCGGGACCUUUGUUGCCUGGCUUUGGUGUGAUAAUUAUCUACGCCAUUGUGAAGAGCAGCUUUAUAAAGGAGGUUCAGCUUCUAAUCGUCUCUUUCGAGACAACUUCUGACAAUUUGACCUCAAAUCAGGUAGGACUACCCGCUGAACUUAA
rnacentral:misc_RNA from 3 species